rnacentral:rRNA from 1 species
UGACCGAUAGUGAACCAGUACCGUGAGGGAAAGGCGAAAAGAACCCCGGCGAGGGGAGUGAAAAAGAACCUGAAACCGUGUACGUACAAGCAGUGGGAGCACCUUCGGGUGUGACUGCGUACCUUUUGUAUAAUGGGUCAGCGACUUAUAUUCUGUAGCAAGGUUAACCGUAUAGGGGAGCCGCAGGGAAACCGAGUCUUAACUGGGCGUUAAGUUGCAGGGUAUAGACCCGAAACCCGGUGAUCUAGCCAUGGGCAGGUUGAAGGUUGGGUAACACUAACUGGAGGACCGAACCGACUAAUGUUGAAAAAUUAGCGGAUGACUUGUGGCUGGGGGUGAAAGGCCAAUCAAACCGGGAGAUAGCUGGUUCUCCCCGAAAGCU